rnacentral:rRNA from 1 species
ACGCUCGACACCUACGGGGGGCAGCAGUGGGGAAUAUUGCACAAUGGGGGAAACCCGUGAUGCAGCGACGCCGCGUGAGCGAAGAAGUAUUUCGGUAUGUAAAGCUCUAUCAGCAGGGAAGAUGAUGACGGUACCUGACUAAGAAGCCCCGGCUAACUACGUGCCCGCAGCCGCGGUAAUCUGAGCGGGCUGGCAAGGC